rnacentral:rRNA from 1 species
UACGUAGGUGACAAGCGUUGUCCGGAUUUACUGGGCGUAAAGAGCGCGCAGGCGGUCGUUCAAGUCGAGUGUGAAAGCCCCCGGCUCAACUGGGGAGGGUCACUCGAUACUGAUCGACUCGAAGGCAGGAGAGGGAAGUGGAAUUCCCGGUGUAGCGGUGAAAUGCGUAGAUAUCGAGAGGAACACCGUGCGGCGAAGGCGGGUUGCUGGGCUGACACUGACGCUGAUGCGCGAAAGCCAGGGGAGCGAACGGG